CCAGUGCCCAGGACUCCCAUCCCUGCCUGCAAAGCUGCGUGUCUUGAGGUUGUCAGGUAGUCUGUCUGGAGUCGCUGCCACUCGGUGCCGAGCUGAUCUUCUAGCUGAUGGGUGAGGCAAUCAAGUCCAUAACCUUCGGAAGCAUGAGUGAGGACCUCCUGGAAGGCACCGAGGAGCUGAACUGGGCCUCCCACACCUCCUUGACCAUUCCCAAGAUCUCCAAAAGCAAGAAGCUGGAGAGGAGCUCCGACAAGGUGUCUGCUGCCAAGGUGGCCCAAUCUCCGGAUCCUGACCCUCAUGCUGAGCCCGGUCAGGAGAUGGAGCCCAAAGGCAGCUCCAAGGGCAAGGGCAAAGCUGGCUCUGGCGCCAAGGCUGUAGAGCUAGGCCCCAACCCCAAGUCCUCCAAAGGGAAGGGCGAGGAUCAGCAGGCCAAGGGGAACAAGGAGUUCAGCUCUCUUGCAGGUGACCUCCUCUUUAGGGAGAACCCCCUGCAGGGGCUGCCCCCCUUCCCUAUAGCCCCCCUAGGAGGCUCCCACACCCCACCCCUCAGCAAAGCCUCCAAGUUGGGCUCCCUUAGCUCGCCUUGCUUUUCUCUGCAUAUUUAGCAAUAAAAAAGUUCUCUUGCUCCUUUGGUGACUUUUG
rnacentral:lncRNA from 1 species